GCACCCGUAGCUCAGCUGGAUAGAGCACCAGACUACGAAUCUGGGGGUCAGGAGUUCGAAUCUCUUCGGGUGCG
rfam:Brevundimonas sp. AAP58 AAP58_Contigs_13, whole genome shotgun sequence.